ACGUAUAAGCUUGAAGUUGAACUUCAUGCCGUGCUACGUUAAAGGAGGAGUUUCUCAAUUGCGCAGACACCGCAUCUGGCACUACCAAAUUGCAGUUAUUUAACGCGAGUGCCCUUCAAGAGGUAGGAAAAACGUCAAAACCAGGGUCUGAGGCGGCAGGAGGCCACCCGGGGCGGGAAUACGAGCGUUGCGGUGCGCCCUCCGGCUCCCCUCGCACCUCUCCUCAGAAACUGAGGAACCACCUGAGGUAGGCAGCUCUGAGAUCCGAGCGGAGCCUAAGCUUUUACAUUUUACAUAUUAAGCCCUAUUUCUUAACAGCAACAAAGUGCUGGAGCAAACUACUAUGGAAUAGUAGCACCAUUGUUUCCGAAAAGGCGAAUAAAGCCACCCAACGCGCCGGCAGAACUCAGAGUAACCAAGCUCCCUCAGAACAUUCCCGCCUCCGGCCCGCCACCACCCCAGCGCUUCCCUCGCGCGCAACCGCAUCAGCACGUUCCCCACCCCCGUGCUUGACUCCUAUUGGUCGAAACGAGGAGGGGCGGGGUGCCGGGGCGUCGGUUGCUCUAUAAAAAGGAGCUCCGCGGGAAUUCGGCCUUUCGGUCAGCACGGCUGGUGGAGGGCUUGUGUGGCGACCGCCGGCGGCGGGGAGCGGCCUGGCAAAUAAAAGCUGUGUCCACCCCG